rnacentral:rRNA from 1 species
UCGAACGGAUCCUUCGGGAUUAGUGGCGGACGGGUGAGUAACACGUGGGAACGUGCCCUUUGGUUCGGAACAACUCAGGGAAACUUGAGCUAAUACCGGAUGUGCCCUUCGGGGGAAAGAUUUAUCGCCAUUGGAGCGGCCCGCGUCUGAUCAGCUAGUUGGUGGGGUAAAGGCCCACCAAGGCGACGAUCAGUAGCUGGUCUGAGAGGAUGAUCAGCCACGUUGGGACUGAGACACGGCCCAA